rnacentral:rRNA from 1 species
AUUGAACGCUGGCGGCAGGCUUAACACAUGCAAGUCGAGCGGAGAUGAGGUGCUUGCACCUUAUCUUAGCGGCGGACGGGUGAGUAAUGCUUAGGAAUCUGCCUAUUAGUGGGGGACAACAUUCCGAAAGGAAUGCUAAUACCGCAUACGUCCUACGGGAGAAAGCAGGGGAUCUUCUGACCUUGCGCUAAUAGAUGAGCCUAAGUCGGAUUAGCUAGUUGGUGGGGUAAAGGCCUACCAAGGCGACGAUCUGUAGCGGGUCUGAGAGGAUGAUCCGCCACACUGGGAGUGAGACACGGCCCAGACUCCUACGGGAGGCAGCAGUGGGGAAUAUUGGACAAUGGGGGGAACCCUGAUCCAGCCAUGCCGCGUGUGUGAAGAAGGCCUUAUGGUUGUAAAGCACUUUAAGCGAGGAGGAGGCUACUGAGACUAAUACUCUUGGAUAGUGGACGUUACUCGCAGAAUAAGCACCGGCUAACUCUGUGCCAGCAGCCGCCGUAAGAC